rnacentral:lncRNA from 1 species
CCUCCCCCGCCCGCCCAGCCCCACCAGGAAGCCCAGGGCGGACUCGUCGAGCUCCUAAUGCACGCGGCGGCGAGAAAAACGCUCUUCAACUUUCCGCCGGCGCCCUCCCGCGCUUCCCCGGGCCACAGGGUCGCCUGUCAACCGGACAGAGCCCGCAAGAGCGGGUCAUGGGCGGUCGCCCAGCGGCGCCGAGAGCAGGAGGAAGCCGGAGCCCGCGCGGGCGCCGUGGAUCCCCUCGGCCUCCCGUUGGUAUCUUCCAUCUCAUGCGUUCAGCAUUGUAACCUCGCGGCGGGCGUGCAGACCGGACGCCCUCCCGCUUCUUCUACCGACUGCUAGGCACACCAGUGGGUUCAUUUUGAAAGAGGCCCUUGCACCGGGCUUUGCAAGGAAGCCGGCAAGGUUAGAUUGAAGGUUAGAAGCCAAUUAGACUAGAAUCCUGCGAUCUGGUGAGACUGCCGCCUUAAAAUGCACCAAACAGUUUUUGAACCUGGAGGGCUAACAGGCGGGAAAAACAUCUGCAAGACUGCCACCGUGUAUUUUUCUCAAGUAACAGGCUAUCCACAGUUUUGGAAUUCCUUAGUGAAACUGUCACACAGGCACAAACACAUGUCAGCUUUCCUUCUAGUUUGUAAAUAAUAUUUGUAAUUUACAGGCCACUGUAUUCCCAACUUUGCACCAUGUGAUUUAGAGAAAGCAAAGCUCCCUCUUUAAAAAUAAUAUGUUACUUCUGAAAUACCGGGAUAUUCCACGGCAAGUAAGCCAUAUUGUCGCCAGAGCAAAUAAACCGCAGCCCCAUAUCAUAAUUCACUGGGUGCUAUAAGAUGUA